GCCCUCAUGGUGUAACGGUCAACACGCUCGGCGCGUAUUCGAGAGGUCCGGGGUUCAAGUCCCGGCGAGGGCA
rnacentral:tRNA from 1 species